UACAGAGGUCUCAAGCGUUGUUCGGAUUCAUUGGGCGUAAAGGGCGCGUAGGCGGGUGUGCAAGUCUGUGGUGAAAGCCUCCAGCUUAACUGGAGAAGUGCCAUGGAUACUGCACAUCUUGAGGAGGGUAGGGGCAUCUGGAACGGUCGGUGGAGCAGUGAAAUGCGUUGAUAUCGACCGGAACUCCGGUGGCGAAGGCGAGGUGCUGGACCCUUUCUGACGCUGAGGCGCGAAAGCCAGGGGAGCAAACGGG
rnacentral:rRNA from 1 species